rnacentral:rRNA from 1 species
GAUGAACGCUGGCGGCGUGCCUAACACAUGCAAGUCGAGCGGAAGGACGAGAAGCUUGCUUCUUUGAUGUUAGCGGCGGACGGGUGAGUAACGCGUGGAUAACCUACCUAUAAGACUGGGAUAACUUCGGGAAACCGGAGCUAAUACCGGAUAAUAUUUUGAACCGCAUGGUUCAAAAGUGAAUGACGGUCUUGCUGUCACUUAUAGAUGGAUCCGCGCUGCAUUAGCUAGUUGGUAGGGUAACGGCUUACCAAGGCAACGAUGCAUAGCCGACCUGAGAGGGUGAUCGGCCACACUGGAACUGAGACACGGUCCAGACUCCUACGGGAGGCAGCAGUAGGGAAUCUUCGGCAAUGGGCGAAAGCCUGACGGAGCAACGCCGCGUGAGUGAUGAAGGUCUUCGGAUCGUAAAACUCUGUUAUUAGGGAAGAACAUAUGUGUAAGUAACUGUGCACAUCUUGACGGUACCUAAUCAGAAAGCCACGGCUAACUACGUG